CGUCGACAAGUACAACAUCCUCUCCCGCUUCACCUGCAACGCGUUCUACCUCGACUCCAAGUCCACCAUCGGCGUCGAGUUCGCCACCCGCACCCUCCUCGCGACAAAGUGCGGCUGGACGAACGAGGCUGCUAUUCUGCCUUGAUCUGCACACAAAGAGUUCUUGGACCUGACCUGAAGCAAGGAUACCUGCGGCUGCAAGCCAACAAUGUCUGAAGACAGGCGCUGCUUGUCGAUGUUCUCCGCAUAACGAUAGGCUUCCAUGCUCGUCCCUGGACCAGAUGUUCAAGUACAGCCCCAUCCACUGCAUCGACCUAGAGUCAAGUGAAUGGAGCUUGUGUUGUUGGUAGAACUCCAUUGAUGACUUCUUCCUAUGUUGAAGAGCAUGUUCCGUGGUAUCCAAGAGUAGAUAGAUUUACACUGGCAGAGCGUUUUAUUUGUCGAUCGCAAUGUUUGUGAUUGUGUGGAAUAUUGUAUGGUUAUCUACAUGAAGUUUGAAGUUCCUGGGCGUGCAAUAUUUGAUGGUCAAACAAGUUGUUGUGAUGUGAACGAGUGUAUGGAGUUUCACAUGUUUUGUUCUGUA
rnacentral:rRNA from 1 species